rnacentral:rRNA from 1 species
ACAUCCAGAGAACUUGGCAGAGAUGCCUUGGUGCCUUCGGGACCUCUGAGACAGGUGCUGCAUGGCUGUCGUCAGCUCGUGUUGUGAAAUGUUGGGUUAAGUCCCGNAACGAGCGCAACCCCUAUCCUUUGUUGCCAGCGAUUCGGUCGGGAACUCAAAGGAGACUGCCGGUGAUAAACCGGAGGAAGGUGGGGAUGACGUCAAGUCAUCAUGGCCCUUACGAGUAGGGCUACACACGUGCUACAAUGGCGCAUACAAAGAGAAGCGACCUCGCGAGAGCAAGCGGACCUCAUAAAGUGCGUCGUAGUCCGGAUCGGAGUCUGCAACUCGACUCCGUGAAGUCGGAAUCGCUAGUAAUCGUAGAUCAGAAUGCUACGGUCGAAUACGUUCCCGGGCCUUGUACACACCGCCCGUCACACCAUGGGAGUGGGUUGCAAAAGAAGUAGAUAGCUUAACCUUCGGGAGGGCGUUUACCACUUUGUGAUUCAUGACUGGGGUGAAGUCGUAACAAGGUAGGCGUAGCGAG